ensembl:rRNA 5S_rRNA 5S ribosomal RNA
GCUUACGGCCAUACCACCUUAGGCACGUCCGAUCUCGUCAGAUUUCGGAAGCUAAGCAGGGUCGGGCCUGGUUAGUACUUGGAUGGGAGACCUCCUCGGAAGGCCAGGUUGCUGUAAGUA